rnacentral:tRNA from 1 species
GACCUUCUAGUUUAGGAAAAACAAUCACUUUGAAAGUGGGAAUCAGGUGGGUAAAAUCAGCUGAAGGUUU